rnacentral:misc_RNA from 1 species
GUGAAUCAUCAAAUUUUUGAACGCAAAUUGCACUCCCUGGUAUUCCGGAGAGCAUGCCUGUUUGAGGGUCAGUAUAAAUAAAAAUAGGUGUGGUGGCUGCCAUUCGUGGUGACGCACCGGAUUUGGGUCGUCUUGCCUUCGGUUAAGUGACAGAAAAUUUUGCAUGAUUUUUUUAGAACGUAUUUAAAUGAUUUAAGGUAAGUUUGCGAAA